UGUAAAGGGACACACAGGAGCAGCUGC
rnacentral:piRNA from 1 species